UACGUAGGGGGCAAGCGUUGUCCGGAAUCACUGGGCGUAAAGGGCGCGUAGGCGGUUUGUUAAGUCAGGUGUGAAAGUUUUCAGCUUAACUGGAAAAGUGCACUUGAAACUAACUUACUUGAGUACUGGAGAGGUAAGCGGAAUUCCUAGUGUAGCGGUGAAAUGCGUAGAUAUUAGGAAGAACACCGGUGGCGAAGGCGGCUUACUGGACAGAGACUGACGCUGAGGCGCGAAAGCGUGGGGAGCGAACAGG
rnacentral:rRNA from 2 species